rnacentral:rRNA from 1 species
GAUGAACGCUGACAGAAUGCUUAACACAUGCAAGUCUUUGGCUAAGCUGUGCUUGCACAGCCUAGCCAAGGCGGACGGGUGAGUAACGCGUAAGGAACUUGCCCUGCAGUCAGGGAUAACAGACGGAAACGACUGAUAAGACCUGGUAAAGUCAGGCGGACUCAUGUCCAGCCUGAUGAAAAGAGAUGCUGCAGGAGAGCCUUGCGUCCUAUUAGCUUGUUGGUGGGGUAACGGCCCACCAAGGCGAUGAUAGGUAGCCGGCCUGAGAGGGUGGACGGCCACAAGGGGACUGAGAUACGGCCCUUACUCCUACGGGAGGCAGCAGUGGGGAAUAUUGGACAAUGGGGGCAACCCUGAUCCAGCAAUUCUGUGUGCACGAUGAAGGUUUUCGGAUUGUAAAGUGCUUUCAGCAGGGAAGAAAAAAAUGACGGUACCUGCAGAAGAAGCGACGGCUAAAUACGUG